GCUUUCUUGGGGAGCAACAA
rnacentral:misc_RNA from 1 species